UGCCUGAGCAUCCCUACUCUGCCUGCAACAGCAGAACUGGGCUUUCUUCUGAAGCUGUACCUCCCCACCAGUGCAGAAAAAAAUCAGUUCCCGCUGAUCCUCUCCUCGAGGUAGACAGCAGUCAUCCAAAGCCCCUUGACAUGCUUUCAGGUCAACAUCCUGAAGACACAAAUAAAAUGGUUCUAUUACACACAGUUCUGUCAAAAUUAAUCUUUACAGUGCACUUUUUUCUCCAGUGACAGCAUUCCAAAUAAAAUAUGCACUGAACAGGUCA